AAACUUGACCAAAACUACCAAGAAGGCCACCAGAUGAUUUGAAAGGACGUCUCAACUCAUCAAUAGCAGGCUUAUUUUGAACGUGAAUCUGCACUUCACUGUUAUCAAACAGACCUCUAGCAGCAGAUACAGACUGUAAGAGAAGAGGAGGAGCGUAGCCCAUAUAUAAAUGCAUGAACAAAGUGGUAGCAAUUGUCACGAGCAUUUGUUUAAAAGAUGUCAAGAGUUUGCUCAAAUCGUAAUCACGCACGGUGGUAGCGACAAAUUUUGAAUGUUCACGUCCAGACAUGGGAGUAGCGGGUUCAACAUAUUUUAAAACAGUUAAAUCUAGAAUUGUUAGAGAAUAGAUGAACCAUGGUAGAUUG